rnacentral:lncRNA from 1 species
AAGUCAGCUCAAAUUGUUUUACUAUCUUUCUCUAUAUUUCUCCCAACCACCCCACCCCCUCUUUGUCGAAAUCCUAAAAGGGGUUCUUCUUUUCUUUUCCUUUGUUUCUGUGUGGCCAUGUUUAGAGAGCAAAUUUGGCUCUGAAAUUGGCAACUGAAAAAAGUUCACACCCCUUCCAUUUCUCUUCUUCUCCUACUACUAAAAAAAUUUCACAAAAACCAAGAUUUUCUAUAAUAUUUCAAGGCAGCAAAAUUUAUGCAUUUGACUUAAUACAUCAGUCCAAACUCCUAGGCAUCCAAAAAAGAACGCUUUAUCAAUUUUAGUAUUAUUUAGCAGCCCAUAGACCUCUAUUUUGCCACCUUUUCUUGAAAAUCCCAUGAGCCAUGACUUGGGUUUUUAGCAAGAAACAGUUGAGUUUGGAAUUUUUAUGUCUUAUCCUUCUUUUGGGGCUUUUGCAUUUUAAUGUUCCAUAUUGUUGUGGUGCAGAAAAUGGAAAUAAUGGCAAAUUUUACAGAUUCAAAGCUGAUUAUUCUUCUUCUAUAAAGAGAGGUGAUAAAUCUCAUAAACGUGGCUUCUUCUCAAGAGGAAAUAAUAUUCCAAAUAUGGAUGAGAUCUUUGGUGAUGAUAAGAGGAAAGUUCGUACCGGUCCAAAUCCUCUACACAACAGAUAAGUAAAGUAGCAGACAAAAAAAAAAUACUAGAGCUUGAUCUCUCUUAUUCAAUUUUCUUUUCUUUUUCUAUGUAUUUUUUAAUCAUUUUGAUAUAUGGUCUUUGAAGCUAAGUACAUUCGCUUCACAGGAAAUACUAGAGCUUCAUCUCUCUUAUUCAAUUUUCUUUUCUUUUUCUAUGUUUUUUUUAAUCAUUUUGAUAUAUGGUCUUUGAAGCUUAGUACAUUCGCUUCACAGGAAGAAUGUUUCAAGAAAUCUUGAAUUUUGUAAAUGAAUAUUGUUACCUGCCCCUCAUGAGAUUUUGUUGAAAUCUUUAUAUUAAUAUUGUAU